AGCCUAGCAUGAUCUCAGUUCCCCAAAAAAUAUAUCAUGAACGGUGAGUAGAUGAAGCAAGUGCUCAAAUCUUAGCAUGUCUGAUAAGACAUAUCUCCACUAUUCCAUUCAAUAGAUAAAAAAAGAGCUCAACUGCUCAUUCAAUAAUCUGAUCAUCUCAAUCAUGAAAAUUCUCAUACUCGUCUCUAUAUAAAUAUUAGUCACAAAGAACCCUCGGGUAUGACAAAAGAAACCCCAUACAUACUACUUCUCUCUCUCAUAUCUUUCUCUUGAAACUUCUACUUGACUUAAGCACCGG
rnacentral:lncRNA from 1 species